ACGCUGGCGGCGUGCUUAACACAUGCAAGUCGAACGAGAGGACAAGAGAAGCUUGCUUCUUUUGGAAUCGAGUGGCAAACGGGUGAGUAACACGUAAACAACCUGCCUUCAGGAUGGGGACAACAGACGGAAACGACUGCUAAUACCGAAUACGCUUGGGAGACCGCAUGAUCUACCAAGGAGAGGGUGGCCUCUACCUGUAAGCUAUCGCCUGAAGAGGGGUUUGCGUCUGAUUAGGCAGUUGGUGAGGUAACGGCCCACCAAACCUACGAUCAGUAGCCGGUCUGAGAGGAUGAACGGCCACACUGGAACUGAGACACGGUCCAGACUCCUACGGGAGGCAGCAGUGGGGAAUCUUCCGCAAUGGGCGAAAGCCUGACGGAGCAACGCCGCGUGAGUGAUGACGGCCUUCGGGUUGUAAAGCUCUGUGAUCGGGGACGAACGGUCCGUAAGCUAAUACCUUAUGGAAGUGACGGUACCCGAAUAGCAAGCCACGGCUAACUACGUG
rnacentral:rRNA from 1 species